rnacentral:rRNA from 1 species
AUUGAACGCUGGCGGCAUGCCUUACACAUGCAAGUCGAACGGUAACGGGCCUUCGGGUGCCGACGAGUGGCGAACGGGUGAGUAAUGCAUCGGAACGUACCUUUCAGUGGGGGAUAACGUAGCGAAAGUUACGCUAAUACCGCAUAUUCUGUGAGCAGGAAAGCAGGGGAUCGCAAGACCUUGCGCUGAUUGAGCGGCCGAUGUCAGAUUAGCUAGUUGGUGAGGUAAAGGCUCACCAAGGCGACGAUCUGUAGCGGGUCUGAGAGGAUGAUCCGCCACACUGGAACUGAGACACGGUCCAGACUCCUACGGGAGGCAGCAGUGAGGAAUAUUGGUCAAUGGGUGAGAGCCUGAACCAGCCAUCCCGCGUGCAGGAUGACGGUCCUAGUGAUUGUAAACUGUCUUUUCUAUGAGAUGAAUAAGAAUUACGUGUAGUUCGAUGUACGUAUUAUAGGAAUAAGCAUCGGACUACUCCG